AUGCAGAUGUGGAGGUUGCUGACUAAGAUGAGAAAUGGGAAGAAAUACAGCCUAAGAAGUGAGGCAGCACGAGAAGAGCCAGCCACCGUAGCUGCAAACAUCAUUCUAACUUCUCGGCAACUGUGUGAAGGAACAGAACUCAGAAGGGCUCCAGUGGAAGAUGUUAUAGCCUUGACCUGCUUCCACCAGGCUUCCUUGUGUCCCUCCUUGUGUCUCGGAUUUAAAAGGACUGUGUAUAAGACUGACGACGUCCGCACCAAAGUGAAGCUAUCUUUAAAUGCCUCCAAAGCUUGGAAACCCAAGGUUGCCCUAAGGAGUUCCUAA
rnacentral:lncRNA from 1 species